rnacentral:rRNA from 1 species
GGUAACAUUGUGCUUGCACAGAUGACGACCGGCGCACGGGUGCGUAACGCGUAUAGAACCUACCUUUUACAGAGGAAUAGCCGUUAGAAAUGAAGAUUAAUGCCUCAUGGUAUUGUAGACUGGCAUCAGUUUAUAAUUAAAGAUUUAUCGGUAAAAGAUGGCUAUGCGUCCUAUUAGUUAGUUGGUAAGGUAACGGCUUACCAAGACAGCGAUAGGUAGGGGUCCCUGAGAGGGAGAUCCCCCACACUGGUACUGAGACACGGACCAGACUCCUACGGGAGGCAGCAGUGAGGAAUAUUGGACAAUGGAGGAGACUCUGAUCCAGCCAUGCCGCGUGUAGGAAGAAUGCCCUAUGGGUUGUAAACUACUUUUAUACAGGAAGAAACACUGGUAUGUAUACCAGCUUGACGGUACUGUAAGAAUAAGGACCGGCUAACUCCGUGCCAGCAGCCGCGGUAAUACGGAGGGUCCGAGCGUUAUCCGGAAUCAUUGGGUUUAAAGGGUCCGCAGGCGGUCGAUUAAGUCAGAGGUGAAAUCCCAUAGCUCAACUAUGGAACUGCCUUUGAUACUGGUUGACCUGAGUCAUAUGGAAGUAGAUAGAAUGUGUAGUGUAGCGGUGAAAUGCAUAGAUAUUACACAGAAUACCGAUUGCGAAGGCAGUCUACUACGUAUGUACUGACGCUGAGGGACGAAAGCGUGGGGAGCGAACAGGAUUAGAUACCCUGGUAGUCCACGCCGUAAACGAUGGAUACUAGUUGUUGGGAUUUAUCUCAGUGACUAAGCGAAAGUGAUAAGUUACCCA